rnacentral:misc_RNA from 1 species
GAAGUGCGACAAGUGUCAUGACUUGCAGAUUCCCGAGAGCUGACAAAUUUCUGAAUGCAAAUGGCGGCCGUCUCAACCGGCCAUGUAUCGCAGAGUGUAGUUGUUCAUACUCAUCAUCCCCCACAAUCCAUACGAUGGUUGUGGUGCUUGGGAUCUGCGCUUGCGACUGCCAUUUUAAUGGCGCGCGAGCGUUAAAAAUCGAGCAUCAAUGGUUGACAGAGAGAAAUCUCCGUCAAUGAUUGAUGACUUCGGAAUAAGAGUGCUUCUGGCACUUACUUGUGACGAAGUUAAGGCUCAAACAAACUUUAGGCAGCCACCUCUGCGAUGCAGGAGAACCCGCUGAACUUAA